rnacentral:rRNA from 1 species
CUAUUAAUUGUAGACCUGUAUGAAAGGCAAAAUGAGGGUUUAACUGUCUCUUAUAGUAAAUCAAUUAAACUGAUCUCCCAGUAAAAAAGCUAGGAUACCCCCAUAAGACCAGAAGACCCUGUGAAGCUUAAACUAAACUAUUAAACUCUAUAAUAACUACUUUCGGUUGGGGCGACCUUGGAAAAAAAAAGAACUUCCAAACACAGUGACUAAAUCACACACCACGGCCCACAAGCCCACAAUUUAGACCCAGCACAGCUGAUAAUUGAACCAAGUUACUCCAGGGAUAACAGCGCCAUCUUCUUCAAGAGCCCAUAUCAAAAAGAAGGUUUACGACCUCGAUGUUGGAUCAGGACAUCCUAAUGGUGCA